rnacentral:lncRNA from 1 species
UUGGCGCAGAACAUGUACGCCCAACUGCUUCCUCUUGCCCUGCCUGCUCCACCUGGUAUGGGCGUUCCUCCACCUCCAAUGGGUGGAAUGGGCAUGCCUCCGAUGGGCGGAAUGGGGAUGCCUCCGAUGGGUCCUGGACCUAUGCCAGCAUACGGGAUGCCACCGAUGGGAAGCUACUGAGUUAUCCACUUGUGAAGAGAGUUCGUUUAGAUGAUAAGCAUUUCAAUUUACACAGAAGUGAUACUCGAGGCAUCUUUCAAGCUGUAGAUUUGUUAUUGGUUGUUUCAACUGAUUCUUUUGGUACCAGGACAAUUUUGGCGAGUGAAAUAUCUAGCCAGGUCGAGUUAAUUAUAUGUUAUUACCAUGGGAUAGGAUGAGGAUGAUGGUUAGGUUGAGCGGGAGCUACAAGGCCGGUACCAUUAUUUGUAUAGGUUGUGUGAUAAAAGCUUGUAGACAUUUUGCAUGUACACUUUGCCGUAGUCACCAGUGGUUGGCGUUGGCAGCCAUAAACAGGAACACCAUUAUCUGUCUGUAUGCUACUUGUUUACGGUCUCAUGUCAUGUCCAGCUGUUUGAAUUUUGUACCUGGAAUGUUUUUGUUGGACAACACGGAGUAUUUGAAUAUUUUGCCCUUGCCAUUGACUUGUGCAUUAUAUUUAUGGUAUAUGUAUGAGCUUUUCUUAUAUAUGGUAAAUAAAUGUGCAGUGCAGCCCCUGGUUAGUGUGGAGCUGCACGGUGCACAAGUUGAGUGGUGUUUAGAUUGAAAAUUUUUUUGGGAGAAGUGUCACAUCAAAUGUUUGACCGGAUUUUGAUUUGACUGGAUAUCGGAAGGGUUUUUUGGAUAUAAAUGAAAAAAACGAAUUUCAUGGUUAGCCUAGAAAUCGCGAGACGAAUCUUUUGAGUCUAAUUAAUCCGUUAUUAACAUAUGUUGGUUACUGUAGCACUUAUGGUUAAUUAUGGACUAAUUAGGCUUAAAAGAUUUGUCUCGAGAUUUCUUUUAUAACUGUGCAAUUAGUUUUUUGUUCAUCUAUAUUUAAUGUUUUAUUUAGGUGUCCAAAAAUUCGAUGUGAUGUUUUUGGAAAAAAAAAAUUUUGGAAACUAAGCUAGGCCUGAGAUUUCCGGAUUGCACUGUUGCAGUCUUCACCUGAUAAUGAAUGAGAAGGCAGGGUGUCGCAUUUGUAGCUGCGAGGAAAGAAGAUGAAAGUUCCAUCGAAAUUUACGAGGAAAGACUUUUAAUUUGUUUGUUCUAGAAUCAGGAAAAACAAAGGCUGCCCCCGUCUGAAAAAGCAACAAGUUGAAGAAGCUUCCGGGCGCCCAUUCGUAUUUGAUAUGUAUUGUAGAUAUCAAGAUUUGACAUAUGCUAUAUGAUACGCGACUCGACUCGUAGUUAGCUUGUGCUAUGAUAUAAACCGACAAGUUUGACUUGUAUACGAAUGGAAAACCUGCUUCAGGCCGGCUGGUUUCUUUGUUCAUCAAGGUCGCAUGUAUGUGAACAGUAUACUUGUAGUAGCGUGAAUCAAUCGAUCGACCUCUGAAAAUGUAUUGAACGGAGGAAUCUCUCAUCACAUAUGGUCACGCAAAUGAGAAACAAUACUCCCAUUUGGUAAUCUUUACAUGCGCACACAGUCAGUAAGUAGUGUUUAAUUAAUUGACAAAACAAUGAAAGAAAUAAUGGAGCCUCCUAAGCCAUGAGCAUCAUGACCCUGAACUCGUCGAAGGAGAGGACGCCGUCGCCGUCGAGGUCGAACCUGCAGAUCAUGGCCCUGCAGUCCUCCACCCUCAGCUGCUGAUGCUGCCACCCCAGCCGCCUCCGCCAUUCCAUAAUAAAAUAUCAAACUGUUAUAUUGUUCUUUGUACAGGCUGGUCAGUUGCAUCUUGUGAAACCAUACAUGGUUGCAGUUCAGAGCAACAAUGUCUCUGCUGUGAAUGAAGCUUUGAAUGAGCUUUAUGUUGAAGAGGAGGAUUAUGAGAGACUCCGUGAAUCGGUUGAUCUGCAUGAUAGCUUUGAUCAGAUAGGUCUUGCCCAGAAGGUAAAACCAGUAGAUGAAUGUACCGUGUAUCAUUAGGUUAUUUCUUUUUUUUCCUGAAUAACCAUUGACUGGAAUGCCUUGUUCAGCUUGAGAAGCAUGAAUUGCUUGAGAUGAGGAGGAUUGCUGCCUACAUUUACAAGAAGGCUAGCAGAUGGAAGCAGUCUAUUGCCCUAUCAAAGAAAGACAACAUGUACAAGGAUUGCAUGGAAACAUGCUCACAAUCUGGUGACCGUGAGCUGUCAGAAGACUUGCUUGUGUAUUUCAUUGAGCAGGUUUGAUUAAGAUCCAUUCUUUCUAUUUUGUUUGUGAAUCGAAUAUUUUGUAUGCAGCAUGCUGCAUGAAUCUGUGAUUUCCAUCUUUUCUAGAUAUGUGCAAGUCAUGCUUUUCUAUUGCUGGUUUUAGUGGCAUAGUUUCCUAUUCUAAGAUUUCUAAGAAUUAGCUGUGUUGAGUGUGUGUGGCAAUAUGCAUCCAGAAAUCCAGUUUCUAUAGGCAGCAUGGCAUCUAAAAAUAGAUAAGGAAUAUUCCAAUUGCAUGGAACACCAGCAACAGCAAGCUCACCCGAUUUGUAUUAUUUAGGCAAAAGCAUUAGUGAUCUGUGUUGUGUUGCAUUUUGAUGAAUAACAUUUAUAUGUGUAUUGCAGGGAAAGAAAGAGUGUUUUGCUUCUUGCCUAUUUAUUUGUUAUGACCUGAUUCGCGCGGAUGUUGCUCUUGAGCUUGCAUGGAUGAACAACAUGGUGGACUUUGCAUUCCCCUAUCUAUUACAGGUAUCUUUCAUUUCAUAUGUUUGGUACUGUUCACUUCUGUACAGUUUGCCUUAACAGAAAAUCUUGCUUCAUGUGCAGUUCAUUCGUGAGUACACAAACAAGGUUGAUGAGCUAGUAAAGGACAGGAUUGAGUCGCAGAAUGAAGUAAAGGCUAAAGAGAAGGAAGAAAAGGAACUUGUUGCUCAGCAGGUAAUCAAUAUAAUUUGUUCUUCUUUUGGUUAUCAUUCUGUUAUUCUUUCGUAACCAGCAUGACAAGCGGUAUUCUUUGGCGCAGAACAUGUACGCCCAACUGCUUCCUCUUGCCCUGCCUGCUCCACCUGGUAUGGGCGUUCCUCCACCUCCAAUGGGUGGAAUGGGCAUGCCUCCGAUGGGCGGAAUGGGGAUGCCUCCGAUGGGUCCUGGACCUAUGCCAGCAUACGGGAUGCCACCGAUGGGAAGCUACUGAGUUAUCCACUUGUGAAGAGAGUUCGUUUAGAUGAUAAGCAUUUCAAUUUACACAGA